UUGACCCGGCGAUGUCCGAAUGGGGAAACCCAGUGCAAUCCGUUGCACUAUCGUUAACUGAAUACAUAGGUUAACGAGGCGAACCGGGGGAACUGAAACAUCUAAGUACCCCGAGGAAAAGAAAUCAACCGAGAUUCCCCCAGUAGCGGCGAGCGAACGGGGAGCAGCCCGGAGUCUGAAUCAGCUUGUGUGUUAGUGGAACGGUCUGGAAAGUCCGACGGUACAGGGUGAUAGUCCCGUACACGAAAGCACACUUGCUGUGAACUCGAAGAGUAGGGCGGGACACGUGGUAUCCUGUCUGAAUAUGGGGGGACCAUCCUCCAAGGCUAAAUACUCCUGACUGACCGAUAGUGAACCAGUACCGUGAGGGAAAGGCGAAAAGAACCCCGGCGAGGGGAGUGAAAAAGAACCUGAAACCGUGUACGUACAAGCAGUGGGAGCCUCUUUAUGGGGUGACUGCGUACCUUUUGUAUAAUGGGUCAGCGACUUAUAUUCUGUAGCAAGGUUAACCGUAUAGGGGAGCCGAAGGGAAACCGAGUCUUAACUGGGCGUUAAGUUGCAGGGUAUAGACCCGAAACCCGGUGAUCUAGCCAUGGGCAGGUUGAAGGUUGGGUAACACUAACUGGAGGACCGAACCGACUAAUGUUGAAAAAUUAGCGGAUGACCUGUGGCUGGGGGUGAAAGGCCAAUCAAACCGGGAGAUAGCUGGUUCUCCCCGAAAGCUAUUUAGGUAGCGCCUCGUGAACUCAUCUUCGGGGGUAGAGCACUGUUUCGGCUAGGGGGCCAUCCCGGCUUACCAACCCGAUGCAAACUACGAAUACCGAAGAAUGUUAUCACGGGAGACACACGGCGGGUGCUAACGUCCGUCGUGAAGAGGGAAACAACCCAGACCGCCAGCUAAGGUCCCAAAGUCAUGGUUAAGUGGGAAACGAUGUGGGAAGGCACAGACAGCCAGGAUGUUGGCUUAGAAGCAGCCAUCAUUUAAAGAAAGCGUAAUAGCUCACUGGUCGAGUCGGCCUGCGCGGAAGAUGUAACGGGGCUAAACCAUGCACCGAAGCUGCGGCAGCGACACUAUGUGUUGUUGGGUAGGGGAGCGUUCUGUAAGCCGUUGAAGGUGUGCUGUGAGGCAUGCUGGAGGUAUCAGAAGUGCGAAUGCUGACAUAAGUAACGAUAAAGCGGGUGAAAAGCCCGCUCGCCGGAAGACCAAGGGUUCCUGUCCAACGUUAAUCGGGGCAGGGUGAGUCGACCCCUAAGGCGAGGCCGAAAGGCGUAGUCGAUGGGAAACAGGUUAAUAUUCCUGUACUUGGUGUUACUGCGAAGGGGGGACGGAGAAGGCUAUGUCAGCCGGGCGACGGUUGUCCCGGUUUAAGCAUGUAGGCGGAGGUUCCAGGUAAAUCCGGUACCUUUUAACGCUGAGGUGUGAUGACGAGGCACUACGGUGCUGAAGUGAUAAAUGCCCUGCUUCCAGGAAAAGCCUCUAAGCAUCAGGUAACACGAAAUCGUACCCCAAACCGACACAGGUGGUCAGGUAGAGAAUACCAAGGCGCUUGAGAGAACUCGGGUGAAGGAACUAGGCAAAAUGGUGCCGUAACUUCGGGAGAAGGCACGCUGAUGUGUAGGUGAAGCCCCUGCGGGUGGAGCUGAAAUCAGUCGAAGAUACCAGCUGGCUGCAACUGUUUAUUAAAAACACAGCACUGUGCAAACACGAAAGUGGACGUAUACGGUGUGACGCCUGCCCGGUGCCGGAAGGUUAAUUGAUGGGGUUAGCGGCAACGCGAAGCUCUUGAUCGAAGCCCCGGUAAACGGCGGCCGUAACUAUAACGGUCCUAAGGUAGCGAAAUUCCUUGUCGGGUAAGUUCCGACCUGCACGAAUGGCGUAAUGAUGGCCAGGCUGUCUCCACCCGAGACUCAGUGAAAUUGAACUCGCUGUGAAGAUGCAGUGUACCCGCGGCAAGACGGAAAGACCCCGUGAACCUUUACUAUAGCUUGACACUGAACACUGGUCCUUGAUGUGUAGGAUAGGUGGGAGGCUUUGAAGCGUGGACGCCAGUCUGCGUGGAGCCAACCUUGAAAUACCACCCUUUAAUGGCUGGUGUUCUAACGUAGACCCGUAAUCCGGGUUGCGGACAGUGUCUGGUGGGUAGUUUGACUGGGGCGGUCUCCUCCCAAAGAGUAACGGAGGAGCACGAAGGUUGGCUAAUCCUGGUCGGACAUCAGGAGGUUAGUGCAAUGGCAUAAGCCAGCUUGACUGCGAGCGUGACGGCGCGAGCAGGUGCGAAAGCAGGUCAUAGUGAUCCGGUGGUUCUGAAUGGAAGGGCCAUCGCUCAACGGAUAAAAGGUACUCCGGGGAUAACAGGCUGAUACCGCCCAAGAGUUCAUAUCGACGGCGGUGUUUGGCACCUCGAUGUCGGCUCAUCACAUCCUGGGGCUGAAGUAGGUCCCAAGGGUAUGGCUGUUCGCCAUUUAAAGUGGUACGCGAGCUGGGUUUAGAACGUCGUGAGACAGUUCGGUCCCUAUCUGCCGUGGGCGCUGGAGAAUUGAGGGGGGCUGCUCCUAGUACGAGAGGACCGGAGUGGACGCAUCACUGGUGUUCGGGUUGUCAUGCCAAUGGCACUGCCCGGUAGCUAAAUGCGGAAGAGAUAAGUGCUGAAAGCAUCUAAGCACGAAACUUGCCCCGAGAUGAGUUCUCCCUGAGAC
rnacentral:rRNA from 1 species